rnacentral:rRNA from 1 species
AAUUCGCCCUUUUAGCAUGGAAUAAUAGAAUAGGACCUUGGUUCUAUUUUGUUGGUUUCUAGGACCAGAGUAAUGAUUAAUAGGGAUAGUUGGGGGCAUUAGUAUUGAGCAGUCAGAGGUGAAAUUCUUGGAUUUGCUCAAGGCUAACAACUGCGAAAGCAUUUGCCAAGGAUGUUUUCAUUAAUCAAGAACGAAAGUUAGGGGAUCGAAGACGAUUAGAUACCGUCGUAGUCUUAACCAUAAACGAUGCCGACUAGGGAUCGGUGGGAUACGUUUCGUACCCAUCGGCACCUUAUGAGAAAUCAAAGUGUUUGGGUUCCGGGGGGAGUAUGGUCCCAAGGCUGAAACUUAAAGGAAUUGACGGAAGGGCACCACUAGGAGUGGAGCCUGCGGCUUAAUUUGACUCAACACGGGGAAACUCACCAGGUCCAGACAUAGUAAGGAUUGACAGAUUGAGAGCUCUUUCUUGAUUCUAUGGGUGGUGGUGCAUGGCCGUUCUUAGUUGGUGAAGUGAUUUGUCUGGUUAAUUCCGAUAACGAACGAGACCUUAACCUGCUAACUAGUCUCACAAACCUUGGUUUGUGCAGACUUCUUAGAGGGACUGUUUGUGUUUAACAGACGGAAGUUUGAGGCAAUAACAGGUCUGUGAUGCCCUUAGAUGUUCUGGGCUGCACGCGCGCUACACUGAUGAAACCAGCGAGUAUAUAACCUUGGCCGAUAGGUCUGGGUGAUCUUGUGAAAUUUCAUCGUGCUGGGGAUAGGGCAUUGCAAUAAGGGCGAAUU